GGGCCCCCAUGAUGCCCAGCACUGGGCUCUGACCUCCCCUGAGGACAUGGUGCCCCCCCAGGACCUUUGACACCCGGGGGGUCUGAGGGGCCC
ensembl:snoRNA small nucleolar RNA, C/D box 88A